rnacentral:lncRNA from 1 species
CCAGCACCUGAUGCUGUUAUUGGUCCUUUGCCAGAAGUGCUGGAAAAUGGUGAUAAACCGAAAUAUAAACAGCUUUUAUACUCCGACUAUUUCAAGUAUUUCUUCAGCAAGGCUCAUGAUGGGAAGAAAACUAUUGAAUUUGCCAUGAUAUGAUUGUAUGAUCUGUGCUCGUGGUUGUCAGAACUUGAAGGUGUUUGAAGUGCAGCUGCUGAUUCUUUUUAAGGUGUUUGAAGCAGAAAAUGCAAUAACUUGGAUGUGAUGUGAUUAGACAGAAAAAGUUUUAGCAGAUUAUGUUAUAGCUUUAUUGUAAUCAUAAACUGUGGUUUCCACUCCACUGGUGACCUCCUUUUAGUGUUUUUAGUCAUUUUGGUUUUUUUUUAGUUUCGGCUUUGUUGUUUUUUUUUUACCAAAGUACAUUAGAGUUUUUUUCCUUCCAUUUUGUAAUAUAAAAAAGUAUGACAUCAGCAGAUGCGCAGGUUAAUGAAAUCAGAUUUUGGUUUUUCAUUAUUCUAAUUGGUCUCUGUGCACCGCUUCUCUUCUUCUCCAUCUUGCCACUUUUGAUCAAGAAUGAUGCAGAACUUUAAGAUGGUAUCAGAGCGGGUAUAACCCACUCUGCUCUGCUGCCUCAAUUUUUCUUUCUCCUCCUACGAAUCUUUCAUCGUUUUCUUUUCCCCUUUCUUGGCUUCGUCUUCCUCAUGACUGCGACACAAGAAAUUUUCUCCAAGAAUGAUCAACAAAACCCAAGCAAUGCAUUCUACCUUCAUUCAGGAGAAAGUCCAGCGAUGGUUUUAGUCACGCCGCAUCUUGAUGGAUCCAACUACCAUUCUUGGAGUAGAGCAAUGAAGCGUGCCCUACUUUCAAAGAACAAGUUCAAAUUUGUCAACGGGGAGAUACUAGAACCUUCAAGUAGUGACAGUCAAUACGAAGCGUGGGAGAGGUGCAACAUUAUGGUGAUCUCAUGGAUCACGCGAAGUCUAUCAACGCAAAUAGCUCAAAGCAUUGUGUAUACUGAUAGUGCAAAAGAAUUGUGGGAAGACCUUAGAGAAAGAUUUGCGAAAAGUAACCACUUUCGUGUUUCAGACCUCUUACAAGAGAUUAACUCCAUCAAGCAAGGUGAAAGGAGUAUCACAGAUUAUUACACUGAUUCCAAAACUCUGUGGGAGGAGUUGGAUUCUUUACGCCCUUUGCCAGCCUGUGUGUGCAAGACGAAGUGUGGUUGCGGGAUGAUGAAAACUAUAGCAAAUUAUAAGGAUUCUGAGCGGGUGAUGUGCUUCUUGAAAGGAUUGGGAGAAACAUACAACACUGUUAAAACGCAAAUCUUGCUAACAGAACCUCUACCAGGUAUUAAUCGUGUCUUUUCUUUAGUUUUACAACAAGAACGAAAUUUGAAUGAGAGCAUGGGAAUAGACACGAAGGUCUUGAUUAAUAGGGCUAAUCAACAAAGAACAAACAACAAAACCAACAACGGUAAUCAUGGGUGGCGCAACUAUGGAAGAGGAAGAGGAAAAAACUAUGGAAAACAAUGUUCUUUCUGCUACAAGAUGAACCACACCGCAGAUGAGUGUUAUUCCAAACAUGGUUUCCCACCAUGGAUAAAACAAAGAAGUGUUGCAAACGCUUUUGAGAAGGAUGAAGAAAAUGAAGCUGAAAAAGGAAAAUCUACCCAUGAAGAAACUCUUAACGAACAGAUUGUCAAAAGCUUUGGAACAUAACAACUGCAACAACUUGUGGAUAUGAUUCAAAAUUCCAGGAAUAAAGAGAAAGCGAUUAACAACACCACAGGAGAAUAUUCAAAAACGAGCAAAAACUCAGUUAAGGAAGGUAUAAGUAAUUGGAUUCUUGAUACAGGAGCCACUGAUCAUGUGUCAUGCUUCAAUUCUUUCUUUAUAAGCUAUUACAAAAUAAAACCUGUGAGAGUUAAGUUACCCAAUAAUCAUACUGUUACUGCUAUGUAUGCUGGUACCGUGACUUUAUCAAAGAACAUAACUCUACAUAAUGUCUUGUACAUUCCAGAAUUUACAUUGAAUAUAAUUUCUGUUCAGCGGCUAACAACAUCCUUGAGAUGCCAACUUGUUUUUUAUCAUAAUAUUUGUCAGAUAUAGGAGAAGCAUUCUUUGAAGAUGAUUGGUCAAGCUGAAAUACACAAUGGACUCUACCAUUUUCACACAAAAAAAGGAGACGGGUUGAUUUGCAGUAUGUACAAUAAUGAUGUUUUCAAAUCUGAUAAUAAACUUGACAUUUGGCAUUGUAGAAUGGGCCAUCCCUCAAACAGAGUGCUGGAUAAACUGGCUAAGAAAUAUUCUGAUGUGCAUUUUGAUAAUAUGAAUGUUUGUAUUCCUUGUCAUUUAGUUAAACAACAUAAAUUGCCUUUUCCCCUUAGUAAAAAUUUUAGUAAGCAUGCUUUUGAUCUUGUUCAUAUGGAUAUUUAGGGCCCUUUUGGUGUUACUUCUGCUCACGGACACAAAUAUUUUUUAAUGAUAGUAGAUGAUUAUAGUAGAUAUACAUGGGUUCACUUAAUGAAAACCAAAAGUGAUGCUAGGGAAUUCUUGCAGAAUUUUAUCAUGUAUGUUAGGAAUCAAUUCAAUAAAGGCAUAAAGGUUAUUACAACUGAUAAUGGGAAGGAGUUUUGCUAGACGGAUUUUUAUGAUUUACAUGGUAUUUUACAUCAAACAUCUUGCAAUGAAACACCACAGCAAAACUCCACUGUUGAAAGGAAGCAUCAACAUAUUCUAAAUAUCACACGUUGUCUUAUGUUUCAAUCUAACUUGCCUAAGGUGUUUUGGUUAUAUGCUGUUUUACAUUCUGUGCAUUUGAUAAAUUGUUUGCCAUCUCCUGUUAUACAAAACAAAUGUCCUUAUAACGCCCAGGUAUUUGGGUGUAGCUGGGCAGAGGCAGUAUUGAUUUCGAUAAGGAGGGUUAUUUCCAAAUUGUAUAAGGGUAGGCGAAGAAGAAGCUUUUUGUAGAUAGUAGAGUAGAAGAAACAGAAAGAGGCAUCUAGGUCUGAUGCCUCAUCACAGCAGACUGGUUCAUCUACCCUACAUGGCAUUACCCUAACAAACCUAUUUUCCUCUCUACCAAAUAGACAUUUCUUCUUGGGAUGUUCACUCUUCCUAUAUAACACUAUUUUCUCACGAGUGGUGAAUUCAAAGGUUUUUUCUAAAAUGGUACUAGGAGCUCAGGGAUAUAGGGUUUUGUAAUCCAUCAUACAGAGAAUCUAAAACAAAGGAAGCAAACAAACGAAUGCAAUGCUCAGAUAAAGAAGCGCAUGUGUUUCGAAAAGAAGAAAGGAACGACAAAGUGAAAAAUAGAUACAUUUACAAUUAUAAUCGCGAGAAAUGUAAAUAGUCCUAGCGCAGUUGAUAUGAGUAGAUUAAAAGCAAUCACAAGUUAAAGUACGCACCUUGAUGCGAUUGAUGAAAUGAGGCAAACAGGUUUUCUUUGUUUGAAGAAGAGGGAGCAAGGUGUUCGAAAGAGAAGCGCGAAGUGGAAUGAAACAGUGAAAAAGGCGUGAAUUUUCGACGUUAACGUAUAAGUGAAACGCAAGCGGCAACAUUUUCCAACCGUUGAUGAUGGCCACUAUGUGUGUCGCAUCGCUCACAAAACACGUAGGUCACCAUGGGCGAGCAGUUAGCCUCUUCACUGAAACAAGUUUCAGUUCGAGACUGGGGGGCUUGUGUACUGGACCAGAGCACUGAGUUCAGCACUCGAUGAUCGGAUAUCGGCACCUGUGUCAAACAGGUAAGCUCAGUCGAGUUGAUGGGCCACAUGAGCGGGCUCCAGGUACGUGUGUAUUGAAUUUCAUUCAUAUACUUAACGCGCAUAGGGUCUGGUCAGGUCAGCGAAAGGUGUUAUUGGGCCUAAGGGUGUGUUUAGUACAUUCCGGUCUAGCACAAGUAAAACAUUCUAUAUAAGGCCUAAGCCCAAGAUGGUUUUGGGGAAUAAGUUGCAUGGAUGAUACGUAAAGGCUUGUACGCCUACGAUGGACAAAUAGGACCCCUAAUGCUGGUACAUGAGUUGGUACCCUGACGACCAUUCUGUUAAGAUUUAUGCACUCCAAGGAGAGAAGAUUUUGUGCAUUUGCCGCCUUAAGAUUGUGCACAUUGCAACAGACUCCUCCCAUCAAACAUGCUUUCACUGGAGAUAAGGUUCUCGUGAGAGAAGGUUGUUACAAGAGGUAACCUAAAAGUUGUUGAUCAAGAGUGAUCAAAGGCUUUGAAGAAUCCAAAUCCAUGUGUUUGAUGUAAAGCUGGAGUUGCUAAUGUGUUUAGGAUAGGAUCUGGGUAGUUUAAAUGUGUAAUCCACUCUUUGUUGAAUCUAAAGCUAAUGUGUUUUAAAACCUUUUUGAGUUUAAAGUGUUUUUCAAACUAAGUGAAAAAACAACCGGUUGUUUUGUCGAAACAACCUGUUGUUUUGUCGAAACAACCUUUUGUUUGUCGAAACAACCUGUUGUUUUGUUUGUCGAAACAACCUGUUGUUUUGUCGAAACAACCUGUUGUUUUGUCGAAACAAUCGAUUGUUUUACUCUUAGGUGUUUUUGAAAAUGUUGAAAAUUGUUUUGGUUGGUUGACUUGCUGUCAAACCAAAACAAUCGAUUGUUUCGUGGUUUCAAUCAAUUGUUUCUUUGAAAAUCCUAACAGAAUUCUGUUUUGUUAGUUGAAUGUGCUUUAAAUGAUUUCCAAUUGAAUACGCUCCUCUAUUAAAUGCUUUGACCUAUCUUUGAAAGAUAUAAAUAGUUGGUUUAUGUUUUAUAACAAACAAGAAAAACAAAUUUGAGUUUUUCAGUUGUGAAAGAUUGCUUUCAAGUUUUGAACAUUCACAUCAAGCUUUGGGUUUUUCUCAAGAGAGAGUGGAAUAGGAUUACAUCUGUAUUGAUUUCAGAUUGUUCUGUAAAUAAGUGUAAUUCGUUCUGAAUAUUCUGUAAAUUCUGGUGUUGUUGCCAAGGAGUGUUGUGUGCUCUUGAGGUGGUCAACAUCAACAUUCUUGGUUGUGUUAUGCCAAAGAGAGUGUGUUUCUUGAAGGGUUCAAGGUUACUUCUUUGGUGGUUUGUGUGUAAUAUGUUUUGAUUACUUAGUGGAUUGCCCAGUGGCUUCUGGGGAUUGGAUGUAGCUUUUGGUUUAAGAGUGAACCAAUAUAAACUGUUUGUGUAUCUCUUUCUUCCCUUAAACUCAUUUAAAUUCAGUUGUUAUUGUUUUACUAGUAUAAACAACCGAUUGUUUUUCUGGUGCUUUGCUAUUUUGAGUUUAAUUUCUUGGCUAAUCCUAAAAUCUUUUUUCAAUGGCUGAAAAACUACCUUUUGGGGAGGGUGCCUCAAUUAACAGACCACCCCUGUUCUGUGGUUUGAAUUAUCAAUUCUAGAAAGUUAGAAUGAAAAUCUUUGUUGAAUCUCUUGAUAAAGGAAUUUGGGAUGCAAUUGAAAAUGGCCCUUUUAUUCCUAAAUUUCAAAAGGAUGGAUCCUCUAUUGAUAAACCUUGGUCCCAAUGGACUGAUGUUGAAAAUAAAAAGGCCAACUUUGAUCGUAUUGCCAAGAAUAUCAUAACAUCUGCUUUGAAUUCGGAUGAAUUUUUCAGGAUAUCACAAUGUUCAUCGGCCAAGGAGAUGUGGGACACUUCGGAAGUCACCCAUGAAGGAACAAAUGAUGUGAAGAGAGCAAGGAAACAUAUUGUAAUACAAGAGUAUGAGAUGUUCAGAAUGCUUAAGGGAGAAUCUAUUGCUGAAGUGCAAAAGAGGUUCACUCACAUCAUCGACCAUCUAAUGAGCCUUGGGAAAACCAUUGAUAAAGAAGAACUAAACAUCAAGAUUCUCAAGUGCCUUGAUAGAUCUUGGUAACCUAAGGUAACAUCAAUUUUUGAAUCAAAAGAUUUGACAUCCUUGACAACAGCUUCAUUGUUUGGUAAGCUUAGAGAACAUGAGUUAGAGAUGAAUAGACUCAAUGUUCAAGAAAGUGAAGACAAGCAUGUGAGAAGCAUUGCCUUGAAAGUUGCCAAGCACAAAAGUAAACAAGAUCCAAGUGAUGAAAGUGAGGAAGAAAACCUUAGCUUGCUGUUCAAAAAGUUUAGUAAAUUGUCAAAGAGAAAUCGCAACAAAGAAGCCAACAAAGAAAGGUAUGGAACAAGAAAACUAGUGAUUUCAAUUCUAACAAUUAUACUUGCUUUGGUUGUGGUGAACAAGGGCAUAUAAAAGCUGAUUGCCCAUAUAAAGAAAGCAAUGGAAAGAAGUCAAGCUACAAGGAAAAGAAGGGAAAAUCAAGAAGAGCAUAUAUUGCUUGGGAUGAAAAUGAUGUCUCCUCAUCAAGCUCUUCAUUUUGCUAAAUCUUUUAAGUUCUCAAUAUCUUGGCUUUGAUCACAUUAAGGAACUUUAUCAUGAUGACCUUGAUUUUUCUCUCAUCUAUCAAGAGUGUCUUAAGGGAGGACACAAAGAUUUUUUUAUACAAGAUGACUUUCUUUUUAAAAGAAAACGUCUUUGUGUCCCUCAAAGCUCUUUUAGAUUAUCUCUUGUUAGAGAAGCCCAUGAGGGGGGGUUAAUGGGUCACUUUGGGGUUGCUAAAACUUUGGAUGUGUUGCAUGAACAUUUCUUUUGGCCUCAUAUGCAUAAACAUGUUCAUAGUUUGUGUGAUAAAUGCAUAGCUUGUCGCAAAGCUAAAUCUAAGAUGCAUCCCCAUGGUUUAUAUACUCCUUUUCCUAUCCCUUCAAUGCCUUGGGUUGACAUAUCUAUGGAUUUCAUCUUAGGAUUACCCAAGACAUCAAAGGGAAAGGAUUCCAUUUUUGUGGUAGUGGAUCAUUUUUCAAAGAUGGCUCACUUUAUUCCUUGCCACAAAGUGGAUGAUGCAUGUCAUAUUGCAAACCUCUUCUUUCAAGAAGUGGUUCGCUUGCAUGGGANNNNNNNNNNNNNNNNNNNNNNNNNNNNNNNNNNNNNNNNNNNNNNNNNNNNNNNNNNNNNNNNNNNNNNNNNNNNNNNNNNNNNNNNNNNNNNNNNNNNGAACUAAACUUUUAUUUUCUACCACUUGCCACCCACAAACUGAUGGUCAAACCGAGGUGGUGAAUAGAACUUUGGGACAACUAUUGAGAUGUUUCAUUUCGGGGAAUCCUAGAGUGUGGGAGAAUUUACUACUCCAUGUUGAGUUUGCAUAUAACCGUGUAGUAAAUUCUACCACCUCACAUUCUCCUUUUGAGGUUGUCUAUGGGUUUAACCCCUUAACACCUCUUGAUCUUCUUCCUAUUCCCAUUCUUGGAGAUGUCUUGUGCAAAGAUGGGGAUGAAAAGGCUUCUUUUGUGAAAACUUUGCAUAAAGACAUCAAGAAGAGAAUUGAGAAGAAGGUUGGCAAGUAUGGUGAACUUGCCAAUAAAAGGAGAAAAGCAUUGUUGUUUGAGGAAGGUGAUUAGGUUUGGCUUCAUUUGAGGAAGGAUCGUUUUCCUACUCAAAGGAAGUCCAAACUAAUGCCUCGUGGGGAUGGACCUUUCCAAGUCCUAAAGAGGAUUAAUGACAAUGCUUAUGAGUUAGAUAUGCCUGAUACAUUCUUAGGUAGUCAUACUUUUAAUAUCAGUGAUCUAACUCCUUUUUCUGUAGGUCUCCAGAAUUCGUGGUCGAAUUCUCUCCAACUCGGGGAGUAUGAUGGAGAUCAAGCUCAAGUGGACAUGGAGGUCAGUCAUCAAGAGCAAGAAGAGGUUGAGGCUCAAAUAGAGGACGCUCAUGGAGUUCAAAGCCCACCUCAAAGGCUUACAAGGAGCAUGUUCAAGGCUUUAGGAGCUAAUGGACGUUUAUUUUCUCUUUUUUGUAAUUUCUUUGUUUGAAGGUGCUUAGAAGGAAACAUAAGAAACCUCUUUUGUCAAAGCAUCUUUAGGUCUUUAGUUUAGGAGUCUUAGGGGGUGUGCGUUUAGUAGAGAUGUGUAGACAUAAUAGGGAGGUGCCAAAGUGAGAGAGGAAGUCACACCUUCCUCAUGACUUAGGAUUGGCGCCACUUUCAUGUAAUUUGGGGGGGGGGGGAUUUUGAAUUUAAUUAGCUUUGCAUUUCAGCACCUCUAGGCUAUAAAUUAAGGUGCUGCCUUUGUAUUUUUCAAAUUUGAAUUUUGAAUUAGAGAAACUCUACUCAAUUUGAGAGAGAAUUGGAGAGCUUUGUGCCUUCCUCCUCACUUAGUCUUAUCUUGAGAGUUCAUGGUUACCUCAAGUGGCGGCAUAGCACACUCAUCUUGGAGUCUCCAUCCUCUAAGUGGCGUGUUCAUCCAACCAUUCCUCCAUCUUCAUGAGCUUUCUUUUCUCCUUCCUUCCUUCCAACUCAAGAUGAUUCCUAAGAAUGUCAAGAAUCAUUCAUAUUGUGCUAUUGGAAUCAUAUCACAUCCCAAGGAUUUGUCUCCAUCAAAUAGGGGGAGAUUGUUGAAUAUGGGAGCUUUGAUGUUUCAAAUCCACAUGGAGCUUGAAGCUGUGCUGCUUUUGGUUUGGGUUUAGAUUAGAUUGUUUAGAAUCUUUGUUAAGAUCAGUUCUUAAUCCUUGCACAAAGCUUGACCAAUCACUUUUAAAGAGACAAAGUGUUUUUCCAAAGCAAAAGGAAAACAACCGGUUGAAUCAUUGAGAUAAUCGGUUGUUUGUCACUUAGUUGGCUUAAAGGUUUUGAAACUAUUGUUUGAAUUGGUUAUGCAACUACUUGAAUCAUUGAACCAGUUAAAUGUAUGUUUCCAUAACAGUUUUUUUGAAAACAUGUUUCAACUGUUUUAGCUUAUUAAAAUUGUCUUAAACGGCUAGAUUUCAAGUGCUAUAAAUAUAACCCUUCUUUCAAAGCAAAAUACACAACAAAUACAACAAGUUUUGAUACAUAUUUGAGAUCAAAGAGAGAGAUUAGUUUUUGAAAGAAGUUUUUCAAAGUUGCAAGAUUGUUGUUCAAGCUUCACUCUGGUAACAAGAUUUGAGCAUAGGGCUUCCUAUUUUGUGCAAUUUCAAGUGUUUUCUAUCCCUAUCUAGAUUCUUGUAAUAGUACUUCCUUUAUCUGUAAUUGUAUUUGAAAUCCUGUAAAGGCAGAGAGUGUUCUGUCUUGAGGUGUGUGGUGUUGCAAAGAGGGUGAGUGGAUCUUGUGGGCUUUCAAGGUCACCUCUUUGUGGUGUGUUGGUGUAAUUUGGAUUUGAUUACUAGUGAAACUCAGAGGUUUUUCUGAGAACUGGAUGUAGCUCAAGAGUGAGUGAACCAGAAUAACUUCUGCUGUUUGAAUCUCUCUAUCUUUAACUCCUUAUUGUUGGGUCUAUUAGUGUCUAAGUUCAAGAGGGGAGGGAUGAAUUGAGCUUAUAAAAUUUUCGCAAGAACACAAUUUUCAGUAUUCCAGAGGCAAAAAGAACAGAUUGUUUUUACAUGAAACAGAUUGAUUCUUCAGAGCAGUCUUGGCACAAUUUGAAUUUGUUCAAUGUAAAAAUGUGAUCAACAGAGAAUUAUAACAGAAUCAGAUCAGCUUAAUAUUGUGAGGAUGAAGGAUACAACUAUGCUUAGAAAUCAAACAAAAUUACUCAACACAAGGUUUUAAGAAGAAUGAUUCUUUCUCAGAUUUUAAUGAAUGGACAGUUUGUUCACUAAUCACUUAAACCAUCAUAUACAACAACCUUGUUUAUGAUCAGAGAACCUUAACAAAUCAGGAAGAACAGUUUUUACUCAAACCCAUAAUUAACAUAUUCAAUUUCAAAAGAACAGAUUUAGUUCUUGACAGAAAUAAGCAAAACCAAAAACGAGUGCAGGGAUGAGAAGAAAAGGCACACAAGUUUUUAUACUGGUUCACUCAUGNNNNNNNNNNNNNNNNNNNNNNNNNNNNNNNNNNNNNNNNNNNNNNNNNNNNNNNNNNNNNNNNNNNNNNNNNNNNNNNNNNNNNNNNNNNNNNNNNNNNCCAGUCACACCUUACCCCAAGGUGGAAUCCACUAAAAAACAGUACCAAUUACUUACAAACACAGCAGUUCUUGAACACUACAAAAACAACACAAACAAUGCUGAAAAACCCUAUUUCAGCACGCCUUGCACUCCAAGAAACCCUAUCAAGGAGUGACUAACACUUACACCUUUACAAACAAGAAUAAAGGAAAGAUUACACCUGAAAAGAAGAUGCAAGAACUCAAAACCAGUAGCUCAAUUUGCUGCAGAAACUGCACCAGCACCUUCACCAAGAUCAAAGGUUUCCUAGAACAAGCACACUUGAAAAUCUCUUUGGAAAACCUUUCAAAAAUCUUUCAAUCCUUCUUCUCACAUGGACAAUGUUUGAUCUCUGUCAAAAACGUAAUUGCUCAACCCUAAUUCAUGUGAGAGAGACUUUUCUUUAUAUAGAAAACAAUUUCUAACUUCUUUUCAAAAAACAGUUGAAAAGCAGUUAUGAAAACAACAGAUUCAUUUUUGAACUUAACAGAUUUAUUUUGUGAAAACUGCCAACUCAGCUAACUGAAAUAACUGUCUGAGUUGUACCUUUGGUGCCCUAACUAACUUGUGAAAAACCUUUCAACUGAUCAAAGGGCAAACCGAUUCUUUCACAGUGAAACAGAUUAAAUGAAGACAAGUAGGCCAGCUCAUCUUUAACUGAAAUAACGAACUAAGCUUUGCCUGUGGUCUCUAACAGAACUUUUAGAAAAGCCUUUUAACAGAGAAGAAAUAAACAGAUUCUUUCUUCAUAAAACAGAUUUAUUUGUGUACUGAUUUAAAACUUUUAAAACCAUUUUAAAAAAACUUUUCAAAACCCAUUUAACCACAUCAUGUGCUUGAUCUAGACUUGGUUAGGCAUCUAGGAUAGGUUAUACAGCAAAAGGCAAUCACACACUUACAAGCCUAAUUACAAAUGAAUCUAAAAACCUAUUACAAUCUUCAAAGCACUCAAGCCAUUUUCUUCAGCAAACACACAUCAAGCCUUGGUAGGGAAGAAGCUUCCUCCAGCUUCAACAAUCUCCCCCUGUUUGAUGGAGACAAAUUCCCUUUGCUUUGCACAGCUUUGAAGAAGGAAAACUCUGCAUACCUCAAGGAACACAUAGAAAACUCCUUGUAAAAGAAUCACAUGAAGGAGGACUCAUGAGCCAUUUUGAAGUUGAUAAAACUCUUGAGCUUUUAAAAGGAAAAUUCUUUUGGCUACACAUGAGGAAAGAUGAACAAAGACAUUGUUAUAGAUGCAUUUCAUGUUUAAAAGCUAAGUCUAAAACAAUGCCUCGUGGACUCUAUACUCCUUUACCUUUUCAAAGUACUCCUUGGGAAGAUAUAAGCAUGGAUUUCAUAUUAGGACUUCCUAGGACACAAAGAGGUUUUGAUUCCAUUAAUGUGGUAGUGGAUAGGUUUAGCAAGAUGACUCAUUUUAUACCAUGCCAUAAAGUGGAUGAUGCUAACGAUAUCUCUAGGCUCUUCUUUAGAGAAGUGGGAAGACUACAUGGUUUAACCAAGACCAUAGUUUCGAAUAGAGAUCCUAAAUUUGUAGGCCAUUUCUGGAGAACUCUUUGGGAAAGGCUAGGAACUAAGUUGAAUUUCUCAACUUCUUGUCAUCCUCAAACGGAUGGACAAACUGAAGUUGUAAAUAGAUCUUUUUCCACUAUGCUUAGGUCUAUCAUGAGAGGAAACCACAAAUCUUGGGAUGAAUACCUUUCCCAUAUUGAGUUUGCAUAUAAUAGGGUAGUUCAUAAAACUACUAAUAUUUCUCCAGUUGAGAUUGUGUAUGGAUUUAAUCCUCUUACUCCUUUAGAUUUUUUACCUCUACCUAAUCUACAAGAAUUUGUGCAUAAGGAAUGAGUGAUAAAAGUUGAAUUUGUAAAGAAAAUGCAUGAGACGAUUAAAGAACAAAUAGAACAACAAACAGAGAAAUACAUGAAACAUAGCAAUAAGGGGAAGAGAAAGAUAUUUUUUAGGAGGGAGACUGGGUUUGGCUUCAUCUCAGAAAAGAUAGAUUUCUUAAUCAAAGGACUAUGCUACUGAUGGCAGAGAAACAUUUCCUUACAUGUUCAAAAAUGCCAAGACCCUAAUGUAAAUAUUAGAGUAGAAUUUAUCUUUUUGUCAAAAGUAGAAUGUACCGUCCAGGUCAUCGGGUGUGAUGACGUGGACAAGAGAAAGGUAGGUGGUCAAGAAGUCAACAUAGUCGCUGUAUAGUCACCAUAGUCAACAUAGCGCAAGAGAUACGACGCUUAAGUUAAAGCCCAAGUGGCUGCAAGGUUAUACAUUGCACUCCAGAUAAGGGAAGUCCAUGGGCCGGAUACGCUAAGAUCCUAAAGAUAGCGGCGCAAGGACCUUCUCCAAGGAACCCUAGAUAAUAGCAAGCAACGCAGAGGUAAACCCUAGUUUUCACCUAUAUAAAGGGCACGAAGAGCCCUAGUAAGGUACGCUUUCAUAGUUAUACAGAGCACUAAACCCUAGUUGUUCUUGACGGCACACCCAGCUGUGAGCACAAGGCAAUUAGGGCAACACAGUUCCAGUCAUUGAGAUAAUCAUACAGUCUCUAGUCACUUCGGUGUUUCUCGCUAGCUGACUUGAUCGUCGGAGUGCAAACGGCCGCGAGGGCGCCCCUUUGUUCUUCAUUUUCAGGUACUCGUAGACAAGGCAGAACGAAGGUGCCCUAGCUCGUGAGGACAGGCCACGCAUAAAGACGACCCAGGUCAACCGGCUGGAACAUUUGGCGCCCACCGUGGGGCCGAAAUAAACAUCGAUUCCACCACACAAGUUUUCAGUUCCAGUUGCAGUUUCCAACCUAGUUCCAGCCCUCAAAUUGCAGAUAGUCAAGGGGGGCUUCCAGAAACCACGAACAUGAGACCCGCACGCACUAUGAGCGAAGAGAUGACCAUACAACAAAUUGUGGAGAAGCCCUCCAAUCAGUGAAUGAAGAAGCCCAGGCUGACCAGUUAAGGCCAUUCCUUGAGCACGGAAUGUGGCAAACCUCAAGUUCUAUUUCAGCUAAGAUAUUCGUGCUUAAUGCUUUCUCUUUGAACAAUGUGUGGUAAAUCUAUUCUUGGAAGAUGAUGCAUUUAACUUUGUUGAUUUAUCUGAAUUGGCACAUGAUAAGUUGACCUAGCUCGGUAUAAGUACGAGCAUAGGCGCUCUGUGGAAUUGAUCUGUUUGUUGAUUUGUUUAAGCACAACACAGGUAAAGUCAACCUAGCUCGGUGUCAGUGCAACCACUCGAGCAUAGGCGCCGCGUGAGUAAAUGGUUACCUAGUGCCAGGUAAGACAAGGGCAUGAGUACCAUGCAGGAGAGCCCGUUAGCUCGACCCAAGGGUUCGGGGGAGGUCAUCGGUGAUUGGGCACAAGAGGUGAGUCGUGAUCUCAACUCAGAUGUUGGUCAGCCCAGAAAAGGUAACAAAGAUAAAGAGAUAUUUUAUCUGUUGAGAUAUUAUUUUGGAGAUAAAAGAUAAAGAAAUAUUUUAUCUGUUGAGAUAUUAUUUUGGAGAUAAAAGAUAAAGAAAUAUAUUGUUCUAGAGAUAAAAGAUAAAGAAAUAUUUUAUCUGUUGAGAUAUUAUUCUAGAAAUAAAAGAUAAAGAAAUAUAUUAUUUUAGAGAUAAAAGAUAUAGAGAUAUUUUAUCUGUUGAGAUAUUAUUUUGGAGAUAAAAGAUAAAGGAAUAUUUUAUCUGUUGUGAUAUUAUUUUAUAGAUAAAAGAUAAAGAGAUAUUUUAUCUGUUGAGAUAUUAUUUUGGAGAUAAAAGAUAAAGAAAUAUUUUAUCUGUUGUGAUAUUAUUCUAGAGAUAAAAGAUAAAGAAAUAUAUUAUUCUAGAGAUAAAAGANNNNNNNNNNNNNNNNNNNNNNNNNNNNNNNNNNNNNNNNNNNNNNNNNNNNNNNNNNNNNNNNNNNNNNNNNNNNNNNNNNNNNNNNNNNNNNNNNNNNUAUUCUAGAGAUAAAAGAUAAAGAAAUAUAUUGUUCUAGAGAUAAAAGAUAAAGAAAUAUUUUAUCUGUUGUGAAAUUAUUCUAGAGAUAAAAGAUAAAGAAAUAUAUUAUUCUAGAGAUAAAAGAUAAGGAAAUAUUUUAUCUGUUGAGAUAUUAUUUUGGAGAUAAAAGAUAAAUAAAUAUUUUAUUUGUUGAAUAUUAUUUUGGAGAUAAGAGAUAAAAGGAUAUUUUAUCUGUUGUGAUAUUAUUCUGGAGAUAAAAGAUAAAUAAAUAUUUUAUCUGUUGUAAUGUUAUUCCCAAAGGUAAAUGAUUAUUAUUUUUAUCAUGUUAUUUUGAAGAUGACGUGAACGAUUAAUUAUCAUUUAAAUUUGUUGUGAUAUUGUUAUCAUGAUCAUGAUCUCUCACAGUAGAGAAGUUAUUCUUGUUGCUGGUCAUAGAGCAUAGUAGUGAAAAAGUACAUGUCUAGGAAAGUUCUGGCGAGGAAAGACUUGGUAUUUAAGCAUGUCCGUUGGUGACCCACCUCUCUUUCAUGGGAACUUACCUGGUGUACUAGUUCACGAUCUACAACAUGCAAAAAAGAUCAACUUUGACAAAUUUUGCAGAACUCGUGUGUCGAGAAUGACAAAUUAUUAUGUCCUACCGUAGCUCGACGGUAAAGGGCAGUACAACAUCAAACUUUUACACCAUGCAGGGUCAUAGAAGUGUUGGACGACGAAGCCUGUCGGUGAAAAGUCAAGCCAUCAUGACAACUCCUCUAACAGGUACAUUACGACUCAUGUGCACUGACCCUUGGCUCAGAGACAAUCUGGACAUGGGCACCCUUGAUCGCAGCUCGCCACCGUUGUGGUUCGAGCCUUUGAACAGGUCCGUAGCGACUCUCAAGCCGCCGCUCGCCACCGUUUUGGUUUGCCCCUUUGUCUUUGCAGGUGAGAGGUUUCUNNNNNNNNNNNNNNNNNNNNNNNNNNNNNNNNNNNNNNNNNNNNNNNNNNNNNNNNNNNNNNNNNNNNNNNNNNNNNNNNNNNNNNNNNNNNNNNNNNNNAGGCCUCAGCCAGUCGAGGAGUGGCCUGAGAAGAAGAUAAACGGCAAGACGUUUAAGCUGGGGAAAACUUUAGACGGCGAGACACGAGACCAGAUCGCCAAGGUAAUAAUUAGAAGUAGUUUCAGUUAAAGCAGUUUUUCAAGGGGCACUCUUUAAGAAGUAGUUUCAGUUAAAACAGUUUUAUCAAAGUUUCCAAGUUAUUUAAGUUCGCAUGCUUAUCGUUUUAAGUUUUCAGAAAAAAGACCUUAUCGCUUUUAUGAGAUUUAAGGCAACAGUUUAAAGAUUAUGGCAUGCAUUCAGUACAAGGUUUUAAAGAAUAAUGUUUUAACUCCUCAUCGCCAUAUGGCGAUCGGCGGCACAAGUGUGAAGUUUUUUAGUCCUCCUCGCCGUGAGCGAGCGUAGGCGAGAAAAGUUGAGAAAGACCUUCCUCGCCGUAAGCGAGUGUAGGCGAGAAAAGUUGAGAAAGACCUUCCUCGCCGUAAGCAAGUGUAGGCGAGAAGAGUUUAAAAAGACCUUCCUCGCCGUGAGCGGGUGUAGGCGAGAAGAGAUUAAGAUACGUUUGCCUUAGUUUUUCCCUUCCAUGUAAAAUCAAAGAUCAAAUAAGAGAACCAAGAUGGCGUCGCCAGAACAAGGCACUGCCAAGACAAGGCGUCGCCGAGAACAGGUAUCACUAGAAGAAAGUAUCGCCAGAAGUAGGCAUUGCAGCCAGAUAAUCAAUCAGAUAACAUGUAUGUUCAUCAUAAGUUAAUAUCCAAUUUAUCAAAGUUUCCCAGUUAUUGAAUUUGCAUGUUUGUCAUUUUAAGUUUUCGAAGAGAAGACUUUGUCGUCCUUGUGUAAUUUGGGGCAGAUUCAGAUCGCAUGCAUUCAGUUCAAAGUUUUAAAGUAUAAAGUUUUAAGACCUCAUCGCCACCUGGCGAUCAGAGGCAAACGAGUAUGAAGUUUUUAAGUCCUCAUCACCACCUAGCGAUCAGAGACACAAGUAUAAAGUUUUUAAGUCCUUGUCACCACCUGGCAAUCAGAGGUGAAAGUUAAGUUUUAAGUCAUACUCGCCAAGAACGAGUUUAGGCGAGAACAGAUCAGAAGUCCUACUCGCCAAGAACGAGUAGGUGAGAACAAAUCAGAAGUCCUACUCGCCAAGAACGAGUUUAGGCGAGAACAGAUUAAGAAGUCCUACUCGCCAAGAACGAGUAUAGGCGAGAGUUCAGAGCAAGAUGACGGGUAUGUCCAGUAUGAGUUAAAAUCCGGGCGCCUAGCCCUUGAGCAGGGGUUAAGGGAUUCCUUCGGGACGCCCCCUCCUCAAGUAGGAAUAGUUAGCCCCGGUACCAGAGAAAGUCCUCCUCACCCUCGAGUGAGUUCAAGCAAGAUGAGAUUAAAAGUCCUCAGUGCAUCUAGGGAAAAGGUAGCCCCUGGGCAAGUUGAGGCACCAGAGAAAGUCCUCCUCACCCUCGAGUGAGUUCAGGCAAGAUGAGAUUAAAAGUCCUCAGUGCAUCCAGGGAAAAGGUAGCCCCUGGGCAAGUUGAGGCACCAGAGAAAAUCCUCCUCGCCCUCGAGCGAAGUUGAGGUCAGUUAAUAGUUAUCAGUUAAAUCCUCCUCACCCUCGAGCGAAGCUGAGGUCAGAUAUCANNNNNNNNNNNNNNNNNNNNNNNNNNNNNNNNNNNNNNNNNNNNNNNNNNNNNNNNNNNNNNNNNNNNNNNNNNNNNNNNNNNNNNNNNNNNNNNNNNNNNNNNNNNNNNNNNNNNNNNNNNNNNNNNNNNNNNNNNNNNNNNNNNNNNNNNNNNNNNNNNNNNNNNNNNNNNNNNNNNNNNNNNNNNNNNNNNNNNNNNNNNNNNNNNNNNNNNNNNNNNNNNNNNNNNNNNNNNNNNNNNNNNNNNNNNNNNNNNNNNNNNNNNNNNNNNNNNNNNNNNNNNNNNNNNNNNNNNNNNNNNNNNNNNNNNNNNNNNNNNNNNNNNNNNNNNNNNNNNNNNNNNNNNNNNNNNNNNNNNNNNNNNNNAGUAAGUAAUUUCGUGUCAAAUGUUAUUGCUAUAGACUAACCGUUUGUUCAAGAUAAGUUGAUUUCAGGAAAUUAAGCAUCAGUUUAUGCUAAGUUAAUUGGGUUGAGUAAAAACCAACCAAGUUAUCAGGUGAUCUUACAACAGAUAAGUUAUCAGGGUGGAAGAAGUCACAGGGUGGCUGAGGUAGGUUCGUAAAAGACGCCUCACUACUCAGAUCAAGUUGUUUCAGAUUAAAGGCUCAGGGAAGGCAGAGGGGGGUCCGUUAAAGGCAGCUCUCCUCCCAGAAUGAGCAGAAUUGAUAGCUCAAGGUAUGAGGCCGCUCCCCAGAGGACGCCUUAGCAGAUAAAAAGGAAAAUAGCAUCCAAAGAAGCCCACGGCUUUGUGAUAGAAGCUCGAAAGAAGAAGUACACGGCGAGAACUAAGUUAGCAGAUUUUGAGGCGAUGACAUAGAAGUGCGCAUGUCACUUGGCAAAUCAGGCGAGCUAGAUUUCAGAUACUAAGACUGACCCACGCCUACUGCCCAGUAAGUGAUUUUGCGUUAAAUGUUAUUGUUAUAAACUAAUAGUUUGUCCAGUUAAGUUGAUUUUCACAGAGCUAAGCACCAGUUGACGCUAAGUCGAUUUCUUUAAAGCAAGAGUUAGUCAGUUAUAUCAGAUGAUUACACAGCAGAUAACAGCGAAACCAUGCGCACAUUUAUAUGUAUUGAAGAAGAAAAUGGAACAGUGAACUUCUUAGUCUUUUUGCUGAAAACAAGUUAUCAACUUAAGACUGGGGGGCUUGUGUACCGUCCAGGUCAUCGGGUGUGAUGACGUGGACAAGAGAAAGGUAGGUGGUCAAGAAGUCAACAUAGUCGCCGUAUAGUCAACAUAGUCAACAUAGCGCAAGAGAUACGACGCUUAAGUUAAAGCCCAAGUGGCCGCAAGGUUAUACAUUGCACUCCAGAUAAGGGAAGUCCAUGGGCCGGAUACGCUAAGAUCCUAAAGAUAGCGGCGCAAGGACCUUCUCCAAGGAACCCUAGAUAAUAGCAAACAACGCCGAGGUAAACCCUAGUUUUCACCUAUAUAAAAGGCACGAAGAGCCCUAGUAAGGUACGCUUUCAUAGUUAUACAGAGCACUAAACCCUAGUUGUUCUUGACGGCACACCCAGCUGUGAGCACAAGGCAAUUAGGGCAACACAGUUCCAGUCAUUGAGAUAAUCAUACAGUCUCUAGUCACUUCGGUGUUUCUCGCUAGCUGACUUGAUCGUCGGAGUGCAAACGGCCGCGAAGGCGCCCCUUUGUUCUUCUUUUUCAGGUACUCGUAGAUGAGGCAGAACGAAGGUGCCCUAGCUCGUGAGGACAGGCCACGCAUAAAGACGACCCAGGUCAACCGGCCGGAACAUAGAAUAUGAAUUUUACUUGUAUUUUUUUCCCUAAAAUGUAAUUAGGUUAAAUUUAGGCAUCUAAAACCAACCUAGGUUAAAUUAGAGUUUCUACAAACAUCUAACUUAACCUUGGCCGGUCCUUAAACCUAAUUUGACUCACAUGAUGCGCACCAUGUCACACCUACCUUGUGACAUCAAAUUAGGUGCCUAAAUUUAAACCUACACCAUUUGAAUUUCCCACCAAUUCAUGUAUUCAAAGACCAAACCCUAAAGCUAUAAAUAAGGGUGCUUCGUUCAUGUUUUAUAAGAUUAAUGAAUGAGUGAAUUGCUGCCAAAGUUGCUAGCCAAUCUCACUCUCUUGUCUUGCCUCUUUAGGAUAGACACUUUAGUCUUCUUCUUCACCUAGCUCAAGUGAUAUUGCCCAACCAAUCACUCUCCAUACCUAUCAUGCACCUUCAAGGAAUCCGCAAGCUCUAUAGGAGCUCUCCUUGUUCAUCUCCUCCAUUAAAGCUUCCGCGAAACCUCUCAAAAGUUCAGGAAACAAUUUGGUCAUGAAGGCAUUUUCCAUCAUUUAUACUGGUUCACUCUUAACCAAGAGCUACAUCCAGUCCUCAGCUCACCACUGAGAAUUCACUAAGUAAUCAAAAUCAAAUUACAAACCACAAUCAAGAGUGUUGAUCUUGAACCCCUCAAGAACACACAACACUCUCAAAAUCACCACAGUUUCCAAAAGCACUAUCUGAAACUACUUUACACCACAAUACAAUAUUGAAAGAAAGAAUUAGAAUACACUUAGGCUUUAAAAAGAUGAAGAACAAUAAAACAGAAAACCCAGAUUCCUGCUUCACACAAAAGUUAUGAUCCAAGACUUCAAGAAUAAUUAACAAAAGCUCUUUAAUCUUCUCUUGAAAAUAUUCUUAAUAAAAAUCUCUUCUCCUUUUGAUAUGAUCAUAAAACAGUCUUUAUAUAGACUUUAAAAAGAGGUUAAAACAAUUUGAUCAUUAAUUGAAAUAUGUUAAAAGCAUUUAAAAACAUUUUGAAAAGCAUAACAGAAUUUUGUGAAAAACACUUGAUUCUUUUUAAAACAAACUGGUUGAUUUCUUUUUCUGUUAAAAACUAAACAGAAAAAGCUAGUUCAUUUAUCAAAAUAACCGAUUGUUUUUGCUUUACAAAAUAGAAAACAUAAAACAAAUCAUUUUUAAAUCAACCUGUUGAAAAACUUGUUGUAGUCACCAGGCUUUGAACAUAAAAUUUUUCUAAUGAUUGAAAGCACGAAACAACUAACUAAAAUUAACUUAGAUUUAGAAAAGAAAACUUUCAAAAGAGAUUUUGAAUCAUACAGACAUGGAUCAUAACUAAGUGUAAAAUAACAACUCAAAAUCUACUUAAUUACACACAUAGCAGUAGAUCCUUCAAGUCUUCUAGCAGGAUUUGGAAAUAUCAAAGCAUCUUGCUCAACAGGAAACUCUCUUCUUCGAAAAGGAAUAUGGGGGUUAGGCCUAAGAGAUAUAGAAAAAUUCAAUAAAUCCCAAAUAGAAAAGUGGAAAUGGAGAUUAGGCACAAAAAAUAAAGGACUAAACUCACAAUAUGAUUCAUCGAGGGAGGUUCUAAAAUCUAAAUAUGAUUCAUUGAGGUUGCUAAACUCACAAUAUAGGAGGAAGUUAAAUCUGGGUGGUGGGUGGACCUGUCCAAGGUCUGAGUUAGGGAAGCAAGAAAAAUGGUUUGACAGGGGUAGAGAGAGAACCAAAUUUUGGGCGGACUAUUGGAACGGUGAAAAAUCACUAAUGGAGAUGUACCCUAGGUUGUACAUGAUUUUUUAGGAUAAGAAUAAAAUGGUAAAUAAAACAGGAGAGUGGGUAGAUGAUAUAUGGGUUUGGGAUCUUAAAUGGAGAAGAGUUAGAUGGAGUUGGAAGGAAUUAGAAGAGGUACAACUACACAAAUUGGUGGAAAGUAAAAUACCUCAUCUAGAGGCUCUGGACACGUGGAUAUGGAAGGAUGAGCAGAAAGGCUCUUUUUCAGAACUUAUCUAAUACUCUUAAAUAACUUUGAAGGGGAAAAUUUUGGGGUAUUUAAGUCACUUUGGAAAUUAAAUUGUGCUCCAAGUGCUCUACAUCUUGGUUAGAGAAUUUUCUUGAACAAACUCCCAACAAAAUUGAGUCUAUUAAGUAAGGGAGUCGAUGUUACAAAUGUUAGGUGUGUGUUCUAUAACGAAAAAGAUGAAACAACCAAGCAUAUUUUCCUAAACUGCAAAUUUACAUGUUCUGUGAGGAAGAUGUGUGAUAGGUGGGUGAAUUUUACCUCUAUAAAUCACAACCAAAUCAUAGAAAGCUACCAACACUUUUACCUUAUAUGUCAAAAUGCAAAGCAAAAUGAGGCAUGGAAGGGGGUUUGGUUAGUAAUAGGGUGGGAAAUUUGGAAACAUAAGAAUAAUAUUAUCUUUAGGCAAGAGAAGGUAGAUAUGGAUGAAGUUUGAUGUUUAUCUCAAUUAAGAGUGUGGUUGUGGAUUAAACACAAGAUGAGAAAUGUGAACUUCUCCUUCCUUGACUGGUGCAUAUGUCGUAUUAGUUGUCUUAAAUCCAUUUGAUUAUUAUGAAUUUAUUAUCCUGUGGUAAUGCUUGGUUAUGUUUGUUGAAUCAAGUGUGAUCAAAAGCUUUGAAGAAUCCAAAUCCUAUCGUUUGAUGGAAGGCUGAAGUUGCUUGAAGUUGCUGUUGUGUUUUAGAGUAGGAUCUGGGUAGUUUAUCUUUGUAAUCCAUUCUUUGUUGAAUCUAAAGCUUAAGUGUUUUCAAAUCUUUUAAGUUUAAAGUGUUUUUCAAACUAACUGAAAAACAACCUGUUGUUUUGUCAAAACAACCGAUUGUUUUACACUUAGGUGUUUUUGAAAAGGUUGAAAACUGUUUUUGUUGGUUGACUUGCUGUCAAACCAAAACAACCAAUUGAUUCUCACUUUCAAUCGAUUGUUUGUUUGAAAAUCCUAACAGAAACUGUUUUGUUAGUUAAGUGAGCUUUAAAUGAUUUUAUAACUGAAUACGCUCCUGCUUUAAAUGCUUUGACCAUUCUUUGAAUGCUAUAAAUAGUUUGUUUAAGUUUUAUAACAAAUAAGAAGAUAGAAAAACAAAUUUGAGUUUUUCACAGAUUGCUUUUCAAAUAUUUGAGUUUUCACCUUUGAGCUUUGGUUUAUCAAGAGAGAGUGGAAUAGGAUUACAUCUGUAUUGAUUACAGUUCAUUCUAUAACAAGUGUAAUUCGUUCUGAAUAGUUUGUACAUUUUGGUGUUGUAAAGCCAAGAAGGGUUGUGUGCUCUUGAGGUUGUCAAGAUCAACAUUCUUGGUGUGUGUGCUGAGCCAAAGGAAGUGUGUUUCUUGAGGGGAUCAAGGUCACUUCUUUGGCGGUGUGUGUAUGUAAUCUGGUUUUGAUUAUUUAGUGGAUUCCCCAGUGGUUUCUGGGAAACUGGAUGUAGCUCUUGGUUUAAGAGUGAACCGGUAUAAACUGUUUGUGCAUCUCUCUCUUCCUUAAACUCUUUAAUUUCAGUUGUUGUGAUUUUUUAACUGGUAUAAACAACCGAUUGUUUUUCUGGUACUGUGUUGAAUUGUGUUGUGUUCUUGCCUAACUGAAUUUCCAAUCUGGUUUCUUGCAAAGAAUUUCGUUCUAGCUUAAAAAGUUUGCGAAAACCUCUUUAAACAAUUCACCCCCCCCCCUCUCAUUUAAAGGCAUACAUUCUAACAAUUGGCAUCAAGAGCUUGGUACUUGAAAAAUACUCAAGUUUGAUCCCAAAACCUUUUUUCAAUGGCUGAAAAACUACCUUUUGGAGAUGGUGCUUCAAUCAACAAACCACCUCUAUUUUGUGGUUUGAAUUAUCAAUUCUGGAAAGUUAGAACGAAAAUCUUUGUUGAAUCUCUUGACAAGGGAAUUUGGGAUGCAAUUGAAAAUGGCCCUUUUAUUCCAAAAUUUGAAAAAGAUGGAUCUUUCAUUGAAAAACCUUGGUCUCAAUGGACUGAUUCUGAAAACAAGAAGGCCAAAUUUGAUUGUAUUGCUAAGAACAUCAUAACAUCUGCCUUGAAUUCGGAUGAAUUUUUCAGGAUUUCUCAAUGCUCAUCGGCCAAGGAGAUGUGGGACACUUUGGAGGUGACUCAUGAAGGAACCAAUGAUGUGAAGAGAGCUAGAAAGCAUACUCUAAUUCAGGAAUAUGAAAUGUUUAGAAUGCUUAAGGGUGAGUCAAUCGCUGAAGUACAAAAGAGGUUCACCCACAUCAUCAACCACCUUAUGAGCCUUGCGAAAACCUUUGAUAAAGAAGAACUAAACAUCAAGAUCCUCAAGUGUCUUGAUAGAUCAUGGCAACCUAAGGUGACAACAAUUUAUGAAUCAAAAGAUUUGGCAUCCUUGACAACGGCUUCAUUGCUUUGUAAGCUUAGAGAACAUGAGUUAGAAAUGAAUAGACUCAAUGUUCAAGAAAGUUAAGACAAGCAUGUGAGAAGCAUUGCCUUGAAAGUUGCUAAGCACAAAAGCAUGCAAGAGUCAAGUGAUGAAAGUGAAGAAGAAAAUCUUAGUUUGCUGUCCAAGAAGUUUAGUAGAUUCUUGAAAAGAAAUUGCAACAAAGAAGCCAACAAAGAAAGGUAUGGCAACAAGGAAACUAGUGAUUUCAAUUCUAACAAUUAUACUUGCUUUGGUUGUGGUGAACAAGGGCACAUAAAAGUUGAUUCCCCAAACAAAGAAAUCAAUGAAAAGAAAUUAAGCCACAAGGAGAAAAAGGGGAAAUCAAGAAGAGCAUAUAUUGCUUGGGAUGAAAAUGAAGUCUCCUCAUCAAGCUCCUCAUCAAGUGAAGAUGAAAAAAGCAAACAUAUGCUUGAUUGCAGAAGGAGAUGAUGAGUCAUGUAGCACAAGCAAUGUAAGUUCAUGUGCUUCCCUAAUGGCUGAAGAUUGUAGUAAAUUGUUUCAAGCUUUCAAGAAACUCAUGAAGAAGCUAACGGAUUGGUUCUCUCAAAUAACUGAUUGAAAGGGCUUAACAACUGGCUUGAAAAGAGGGUUAAGACACUUGAAGAAGAGCUGGAAAAAUCAAAAAUUGAUUUUGAAAAGCUUGAAAAACAUUGCAAAAACUCUUCUCAUGUGUGUGACUCUCUUGUUUGUGAAAAUUGUGAAAAUCUUGAAAAGAAAGUUCAUUAUCUUGUUAGAAUUGUGGAUAAGCUUUCAAAGGGAAAAUUCAACUUUGAGAAUGUCUUGGCAUCUCAAAAUUGUGUUUUUGGAAGAGUUGGAUUAGGUUUUAAUCCACAGAACAAGCAAGAUAAUUUUUCAAAGAAAUUUUCAAAACUGCCAGUAAAACAACCGAUUGUUAAGUCGAAACGACCGGUUGUUACAUGCUUUUAUUGCAUGAAAAGAGGUCAUUCUGUCAGAUUCUGCAAAAUAAGGAAAUAUUAUGUUCCCGGAGGCUUUAUGAAAAGGAUUCCCAAAGGUUGUGAGGUUUCAAACAACAAAAAUAAAUCAAAUGGACCCACAUUUGUAAGGGGACCAAAUCUUGCUGCUUGAAUUCAUUUUAAUGCAGGGAAACUAGAAGUACAUGAAACUCUGAGUCAUCUGAUCAGGUUCUUGGAAGAAAAGGAUUGUGACUAAUACUGAGGUAAGAGUGUGUACCAAUCCAAGCCUUUUCAAAAGUAAAAAAAAAACUCCUUGAUCACAAACAAAUGACUCAUUGAAGGGACUUCAUAAAAGGAUAAGACCUUCCUUAUCUCUGUCUUUAAUUCUUUUAAUUGCUGAUUCAUGCUUAUUUUCUUCUUGUUAAAUGAUCAAUUACAUCUAUCUUAAACCUUUCUCUACUUAUUCUCAAAAUUUCAAAUUCUGUUUUAUUGUUGUAGAAAAACAACCGAUUGUUUAUUCUCUGAUAGCACUGUGAAAGAAUUGAAUUAAUGCCUAUAUUCUUUUUGUCUAUUGCAGAUCUCAAUAAUGAAAGGAUCUUGAGUCAAUAAAGCAGUCUUGAAAGCCUGAUUGUGUUUUGGAGGAAGUUACAACAUGUGAUAAAGGAAUAUAUUUCAUAUCUUGAAAUUCAAGAGCCUUUAUGUCUAGUCAAAGAUCACAUGUGAUGACCAUGUGAUUUUCUGCUCUUUUUUGACAUUUUUUGUGCAGGUCUUGGUCCAGUCUUUUCUUCUUGAAGAAUGAAACCCACUAAUACCAAUUGAUCACUGUAGGGUUAUGUUCUGUUAUAAAAUCUGGUACUACAGUAAUCAUUUACAAAAACAACCAAUUGAGCCAUCUCUUGCAACAUCUCUUUCUCUCUUUGUGUGUGAGCCUUUGCCUAUUUUUUCUGCUAUCAUGGAGUCCACUCCACCUACAUCAAAGAGGAUCAAAACAAGGGCUGUAAGGUCUGGAGGGAGGCUUGAGGGCUGGUUUUCAGGGGAUAAUGAGCUUAUUGAGAGGUAUCGCUUUGAGACAAGCACAAAAGUGAUCAACAAUCCAAAAGUUGUCUCUUUUGAUUGGUUGAAAAGCCAAAAGCUGGACAAUGUUAGAAAGCUUCUCAGGGAUCAGUUGCUGAGAAGAUUCUUGGAGAUGAAGGGAAACAUAUAUCCAGAUUUGAUUUGGGUAUUCUACACAAACCUAAAGUUUGAAGGAAACAACCUUGUUUCACAUGUUAAAGGUAUAGACAUGAAGAUUACCCAUAAUGUAUGGGCUGCUGUAACUGGAUUGAAAUAUGUUGGUCUUAGAAUCAAUAAAGGUAAUCUUGAAGUUGUGGAAGAUUUCAACAAAGUCCAAUACUACAAAAGUUGCUUGAAGAAUCAACAAGCACAAGUGAGAACUUGUUCUGUUGGAGGGUUAAAGUUAGAUGAAAGGGUGUUAGCUCUCAUUGUCACUUGGAUCCUAACUCUAAGGGGGAGCAACCAUUCUGUUUUAACAGAAGAAGAUCUUGUUUAUAUCUACUGCAUCAUGAAGAAGAUCAAGAUAAAUUGGAUCCAUAUCAUCAAAGAACAUAUGCAAAAAUCCAUGAGGUUAAGUGACUACCACUAUCCCUAUGUUGUUUUAAUCUCUAAAUUCUUGCUCUAUUUUGAAGUGAAUCUUGAAGAUGAGACCUCUGAGUUGGUUAAAUCAACACAAGAAAUGAACAAUGGUUCACUAAGCAAGAUGGGAUUCACCAAGAUAAAUGGAAGAUGGGUGAGCAAAGAUGGUGAUCAUGGUGGUUCAUCAAGUGCUGCAGUUGUUGAUUUUAAUGAAGAAGAUCAAGCUGUUGAAAUGGAUAUCCACAAUGAAGAACAACCUGCAACUAACUUUGAUGCUGGAACAAGUGCAGGACAUCAAGCGAAUGAGAUUCCUUCUAUAUCUUCUUUUGAAAGAUACAUGGUGGAUAGGCUUAAUGGCUUUGCUGAAAAUCAAAGAAAUCUCCAUGAUCUUUGUGUGACCAAUUUCCAAAGCAUUGACAACAGAUUCCCGAGCAUGGACACUCGCUUUCUGACCCUGGAUAAACAGAUUGAAGUUGUUCAGAACCAGAUAUUUGAGCUGCAAUAUGCCAAGGAUGACUGAAUAAAAACAACUGGUUGAAUGCUCGAAACAACCGAUUGUUUUUGCUCUGUACCAGUUUAAGUGCUAUUUCUUUUAAAUUUUCUUUUAUCUGGAACAAUUUCUGUUUUAUCUCUUCUUAUAGUCUAUUUGUGAAGACAAAUAGGGGGAGAUUUUAUGCUGUGUUGUCUUUAAUUCUGCAAACUCUAUCUGUUUAUGUGAUUAAUGUUUCUGUUGUUUGCUGCUGCUGAUGCUUUAUGGUGUGCUGGUUUUCCUGCUGUUUUGGUUAAACAAAACACAAGCUAUAUGUGUUAUUCUAACCUGCUGCCGUAGAUGUUGUAUAUUGCUUAAACUUUGUUUUGCAGGAACUGCUUCAGAUUCAAACAAGUCCAACACAAGAAACCAGGGAUUUGUCUUCAUCAAAUAGGGGGAGAUUGGUGAAUCUAGUGUGAUCAAAAGCUUUGAAGAAUCCAAAUACUACCGUUUGAUGGAAGGCUGAAGUUGCUGCUAUGUUUUAGAGUAGGAUCUGGGUUGUUUAUCUUUGUAAUCCACUCUUUGUUGAAUCUAAAGCUUAAGUGUUUUCAAAUCUUUUAAGUUUAAAGUGCUUUUCAAACUAAGUGAAAAACAACCUGUUGUUUUGUCAAAACAACCGAUUGUUUUACACUUAGGUGUUUUUGAAAAGGUUGAAAAAUGUUUUGGUUGGUUGACUUGUUGUCAAACCAAAACAACCAAUUGAUUCGCACUUUCAAUCGAUUGUUUGUUUGAAAAUCCUAACAGAAACUGUUUUGUUAGUUAAGUGAGCUUUAAAUGAUUUUAUAACUGAAUACGCUCCUGCUUUAAAUGCUUUGACCAUUCUUUGAAUGCUAUAAAUAGUUUGUUUAAGUUUUAUAACAAACAAGAAGAUAGAAAAACAAAUUUGAGUUUUGCACAGAUUUCUUUUCAAAUAUUUGAGUUUUCACCUUUGAGCUUUGGUUUAUCAAGAGAGUGGAAUAGGAUUACAUCUGUAUUGAUUUCAGUUCAUUCUGUAACAAGUGUAAUUCGUUCUGAAUAGUUUGUACAUUUUGGUGUUGUAAAGCCAAGAAGGGUUGUGUGCUCUUGAGGUUGUCAAGAUCAACAUUUUUGGUGUGUGUGCUAAGCCAAAGGAAGUGUGUUUCUUGAGGGGAUCAAGGUCACUUCUUUGGAGGUGUGUGUAUGUAAUCUGGUUUUGAUUACUUAGUGGAUUCCCCAGUGGUUUCUGGGAAACUGGAUGUAGCUCUUGGUUUAAGAGUGAACCAGUAUAAACUGUUUGUGCAUCUCUCUCUUCCUUAAACUCUUUAAUUUCAGUUGUUGUGAUUUUUUAACUGUAUAAACAACCGAUUGUUUCUUCGAAAUAACCGAUUGUUUUUCUGGUGCUAUGUUGAAUUGUGUUGUGUUCUUGGCUAACUGAAUUUCUAAUCUGGUUUCUUGCAAAGAAUUUCAUUCUAGCUUAAAAAGUUUUUGAAAACCUCUUUAAACAAUUCACACCCCCCCCCCUCUCAUUUAAAGCCAUACAUUCUAACAAUGUCUAUCUAUGUUCGUUAAGGACCCAAAAAUGUAUGACUUAAUGUUGCGCAAGGUAUAUAUGUUAUUUGGUGGAGAUUUUCUAUUAUGAUAGGAAUCCAAAUCUAUGUUGGGGAUCACAAUUUCUUGGCUGUCUCAGGGUUCCCUCACCUAUCUAUUUUUGAUCAGAGGAACUGCAGUGCGGUGGUUCCGAAUAACCGAAAGGAGUAGGGGAAUGGAUCUUAUGCUUUGGAUUCUUUAAUUAUUAUUCAGACUCAUGCACAACAAAUUGUUUCUCACAUUUGAAUUCUUCAACAACACUUGCUUAAAUUUCUUUCUUAUGCUCUAUAACUGUAAGAAUAAUACAAUCUAAUAGUGAAUAAAUCUCAACGGUAUGGUUUCCAACUUGUGUUGUUUGUGAACAUAUUAGUCAUAGGUUAGAGUGUGAUGACAAUUUUAUGGCAAGUGCAUCGAGUUAAAAGUAAUAAAUUGUCCCUAAGGACAAAUAUCGAACUCACAAGGAACAAUUCUAAAAUCUUAAGUAUAAUAUUCACUAAAUAUAAGACAAUAUAUAAAAGUUUGUUUGAAAGGUUGUUUGUAUCAUGAAUUUCUAAGAAAUUAAAUAAAAUCAAAGUAAAUGAUUUGGGUGAGUCAAUUUGGAAAAUUAAGAUUUGGGUUCAUCCUUCCCACUCAAUUGUAUUUUCAAUCAAUAAAAACAUAUAACAUUCCAUCAUGAUUGACAUUAAUGCACAUAUAAAAAUCAUUCAUAUUGACUAUUCUAAUACAAAUUAUUAAGAAUGUUUCCUAAACAAUACAAGAAAAACAAUAUAUUUUGUUGGCCAAAAAUGGACAGAAUGAACCAAACCAAGGAAUAAACGUCGGAUUUGCGUCGGCCAACCAUCAGACGAAAAAGUCGUAGAAGGGAAGUUAUAUUUUCAUCGGCUAGCACGAGUGACGCAUAUUCGUGGGCCAAGUUGACCAAAAAGGGACGCAAAUGUCGUCGACUAGGCCGACGUAAAAGCAACGUAAUAUCGUCGACUUAUGCGUGGGCCAAAUCAACGCAAAUGUAUAAAAAACGCAUAUGCUUUAGUUUGGCCGACAAAGAAGAUAAAAAAAUUUGACAUCAAUUUUUGCGUCAGCCCAGCUGACACAUAACUUAUGAAAAAAAAUUUAAAAAAACGUGCAUGGGCUUGACCGACGCAUAAAUUAUAGUGAGAAAAAAAUUAAAAAUUGUUUGCGUGGGCUUUGCCGACGCUUUAAUGGUUUAAAAAGAAACAUUUUGUUUUUUGUUCUGACCAUUUUUGCCUGUAACAGCUACAGAAUAACAAUUCAAAAUAAUAAAUCCCCAUCAUUCACACCACAUUCACAAUAGUAAAAUCAUCCAAAUAGUUAAACAAAGUCAAUUAGAUAAUUUCAUCCAUCCAAAUCAUUCAAACUGAAUAUUAAUACGUAACAUAGAAUUUAGAAUUAAAAUAAACCUUAAAAUAAAAUUCUACUUUAAAAAUUAAUUAAAAGUACUAAAAUUUUAAAUGUUCGAUAAUACAAUUACAUAAAAAGAGUGCAAAUGAAAAUAUAAAACGCAUCCCAUGAAGUAGAAAUAGCAGUGAUGUGAUCUGUAAAACCCUGUAAAAAAAAUACAAACAAUGUGAAUAACUAAAUAUAAAUAACUAAAAUAUUUAGUAUAUAGUAAAAAUGUGAAUUAAUCAUUCAUCCUCAAUGUAUUAGAACAUAAGUCUUUAAAGAAUCGACUUAAGUUAGCAAGGACACUCCAUAAAAAUUCUAGUAAUGACCGAAAACAUAUUGGGAGUAAACACUCCAUGAAAACGUGACAGACAUGACUUUUCAUGCCAUGCAUACUUCCCUUGUCUUCGUUUGCACACCUUGCAAUGUUAGAUACAUAACCAUUGGCCUAGCAUCUUUCAUUGAGAAUGUGUAGUUGGCAUUUGGCUUUGCUACCUUUCCAUUUAGUAAUUGAACCAACUCCAGGUCUCCAAGGACACACAAUUCAGCAACAUUCAUUCUCGCCUUUUAAUAAUCCUUCAUUUUGUUCUUAACGUCCAUUAAACUGUUGAAGACAUUAUCAAAAAAGUUUUCUUAUGUGCCUAAUAUCAAGGUUGUGCAUUAACAAAUUAUCCUUCCUAUAUUGUACACUAGUACAAAAAGGUAAAUUAACAACGAUUAAAAAAAGCAUAUAAAAAUGGUUCUGAAACCGUCGUUAUUGCGGGCGUCAUUAUAAAGUGAUGAUUUUAAUGAUGGUUCAAUAACCGUUUUUAUAAACAAGUGUUAUAACGACGGUUGUGUUAAUCGACUUUAAGUGGGUACUAACUUACUUUUUUAAAAAAAUUUAAAAGUCUUUUAAAGACAGUUCCCAUGGGAACCGUCGUUGUAUGUAUGGCUCUUUUAAAGACCGUUCCACGUGGAACCGUCGUUAUAUGUAGGUUUUUUUUUUAAAAAAAAAUUGUUUUAAUAAACCUCAAACCUUCAUAAAAUAUUCAAUUCCAGAAAAUCAAAACAUUUAAAAUCAUAAUUUAAAUAUGAAAAAUACAUACAACAAAUUAUAACAUUCUACAAAAAUUUUGCUAAUAUAUGAAAAAGUAUGUCAUUCUAAUGAUUUAUCUAUCCUAAGGUGUUAGAAAAAACGAUAACUGGGGAAGAAAGGCGCCAGAUCGUCCGGGAAGAGGCCGAAAAGUUAUUGAAAGCAACUUUCAUCCGAAAAGUUCACUAUACAACGUGGCUAGCCAACGUCGUAAUGGUCCAAAAAUCCAAUGGUAAGUGGUGAAUAUGAAUAGACUACACCAAUCUCAACAAAGCGUGCCCCAAAGACUCAUACCCCUUACUGACUAGUUGAUGGGGUCGUUAGCUAUAAUAUCUUAAGCUUUCUAUAUGCCUAUUCAGGAUACAAUUAAAUCCAGAUGCAUCCGAGCGACAAGGAAAAGACAAAUUUCAAGACUGACUCAGACAACUUUUAUUACAUAGUCAUGCCCUUCGGCCUCAAAAAUGUCGAAGCUACCUACCAACGGCUGAUGGAUAACGUUUUCUACGGCAUGAUCAAAAGAAGUGUCAAAGUCUAAGUGGACGACAUCAUCGUCAUGUCUGACUCGUUCGAGCAACACAUUCAGAAUUUGCAGGAAGUAUUUCAAGCACUACGCCGCUAUCAAAUACGUGUCAAUCCCGAUAAAUGUGCUUUUGGAGUAGAAGGACGGAAGUUUUUGGGCUUUAUCCUCACGCAUCGAGGUAUAAAAGUCAAUCUAGAGAAGUGUAAGGAAAUCACCGAAAUGCGCAGCCCCAUGGUGGGCGGCAAAUGUACCUGUGAGGUUAGUGAGGGGCCCAGACAGUACUUAUACUUGUUGGUGAGUGGCUAUGUGUCGGUAACCUUCCUUCAAUCUCCUUCUUUUAAUGUUAACGCUCGGUCGGCUGGGGGUACCUGCGAUUGCACUUCGACGCUCAAGUCAAUGUUUCGUUUCAAGUGUGCUAUAUUGGGAUAUGAAAACGUACCUUCCUCUUUUGUCUAGCCCCCCUUUAUACGAGUGUCAUUCCUCUCUCUUAUUAUUACCAUUGGGGACAUUCUCCUUGAUUCAUUCAAUGCCAAUUAUUCUUAUUAAUGACACUUCAUGACUACUAAUGACAAUCAUUAAUUAUUUAGUGCUAAUGGUAACUAUUAGUAACAAUGAUUAUUUAUUGUGCUCACCUUGAUCGGUCAGUCCCGGAUCGUCCGGUACCGACCAGUACCGACCACUACAGUAAGUUACUUAAAAAAUAAGUAUCUAAAUCUAAAUAACAAUGACUAAAAAUUUAAGUGUCUAAUAAUAUAAUAAUUAGAAACAAAAAAACAUAGCCUUUAAAGUAGAUUAAAAGUAACUAAAAAAAUAUUUCUAACUACAUCUAGAAAAAAAAAUAAAAAGUAAUCUCUAAAUAAACAAAUAUUUUUUAAUUACUAAUUAUUACAAAUAUUAUAUUUAAUUAUAUUAUAAAUUUUUAUUAUUAAUAUAAACUAUUUAAACAUCAAUAAUUUUUAAUUUAUAAAAUAAUAUCUAAAUUAAUUAAUAUAAUAAUUAAUUAUUUUUUAACAUGCAUGCACGAUUACAGAGGAAACUGUGUACUUGGGAUAUGAUGAAUAAAAUGGACAUGAUCAAUAAAGGCUUCUUCUUACUCUCAAGUCUUCUUGUCAACCAUUAUCUCUUCCUAUAGUCAACUUUCCCAUGUCUUCCACUCCCUCCAAUCUCAUUCAUUUCUUGGUGAACCAAGCCAAUGGAGUAAAGGGUCUUGCUGAUCUCAACCUCCCAACUGUUCCUCCCCAAUACAUUCAGCCUCUCCAAGCUAGAUUAGAUCACACCAAAAUUGUCCCUCGGGAAUCAAUUCCCAUCAUUGAUUUCACCAACUAGGAAGACCCACAUGUCCAAAAUUCCAUUUUUGAUGCUGCAGUCGAGUGGGGCUUCUUCCAAAUUAUCAACCAUGGGAUACCCUUUAAGGUUAUUGAUGAUCUCAAGGCUUCUGUGCACAGAUUCUUUGAGUUGCCAGCUCAGGAAAAGAAGAGCAUCAAAGAGAACUCACCCCCCGAAGUUGUCAGAUUGGCCACUAGUUUCUGCCCCCAUGCUGAGUUGGUCUUGGAGUGGAAAGAUUAUCUGCAACUUGUGUAUGCCUCAGAGGAAAAAAUUCAUGCUCAUUGGCCUGCUAUAUGCAAGUAAGUGAUAGUUCUUAACAACUGUGAGUUGGUUGAGAAAUGCCACCAAAACACUAUGAAACACAUUCUGUAUCAUCGAUUGAAGUUUACAAAAAAGUAUUGAUCUUUUAUGAACUCAGUUGUGGUUUUACAGUUUUCAAAACAUUAAUAAAUAAUUUGUUAAUGAGUACGUUACUAAAAAUCCUUGUCUUUUGGUUUGUUAAUUAUUUGCUUAGCGCAUCUCUUGAUUUUAUAAAUUCUAUGGUCUGUUAGAUGCAAUGUGGAGAUUUCAUAACUCAUGUAACUAGCAUCAUCUAGAAGGAAAAGACUAUAGUUUCUGUAAUCGUAAGCUUUAUAACAUUUAAUUUUAAUUCACAUAUUGGAAUGAAAUGUUAUUUCUAGGAAUACAGGAUGACAAGAAAAAUUGACUUUUAAUUUUAUUUUAUGCAAUGUUGUAGACAAGAGAAAGGAAUGUGUUAUAAAAGAAAAUUGAGUUCUUCUUGAAUCAUGAAAGGUAGUCUCAAAGCUAUUGUGUGAUUGUAGGUUGUGGGAUAAAAUUGGUAUGCUUAAGUACAUGGUUUAGUUAGUUGGAAGUAUUGUGUCUCACAUAAUAUAAAUCCAUCAUGAACUACGUGUUGAUGAGCACAAGAGAGAAGAGAAAUCAUGUGCAAUUUGAAUUGUUGCUCCUUUAUUAUGAUACAAGUGUUUGUUUUUUUGUCAUAAAUAUGUGGUCCCUUUACUGCUGCCUUUCAUGCAGGGAUCAAGCAGUGGAAUAUAUGAAGUAUUGUGAAGUUUUAGUUAGAAAAUUGCUAAAGGUGCUUCUUAAGAAAGUGAAUGUGAGGGAGUUAGAUAAAGCAGGAGAAGACACUUUAAUGGGUGCAAUGACAUUGGGUUUCAAUUACUACCCAGCUUGCCCUGAGCCUGAAGUUGUAUCAGGGGUAGCCCCUCAUUCUGAUAUAUCAUUAAUUACUGUUCUUCUACAAGAUGAUAUUGGAGGGCUCUAUGUUAGAGGCAGUGAUGGAGGAGACAGUUGGAUCUAUGUUCCUCCUGUUGAAGGAGCAUUGGUAAUCAAUAUUGGGGAUGUGCUACAGAUAAUGAGCAAUGAAAGAUACAAAAGCAUAGAGCAUAGAGUGGUUGCAAAUAAAAGGAGGACCAGAAUCUCCAUUCCAAUAUUUGUCAGCCCAGCACCUGAUGCUGUUAUUGGUCCUUUGUCAGAAGUGCUGGAAAAUGGUGACAAACCGAAAUAUAAACAGAUUUUAUACUCCGACUAUUUCAAGUAUUUCUUCAGCAAGGCUCAUGAUGGGAAGAAAACUAUUGAAUUUGCCAUGAUAUGAUUGUAUGAACUUGAAGGUGUUGGAAGUGCAGCUGCUGAUCUUUUUUAAGGUGUUUGAAGCAGAAAAUGCAAUAACUUGGAUGUGAUGUGAUCAGACAGAAAAAGUUUUAGCAGAUUAUGUUAUAGCUUUAUUGUAAUCAUAAACUAUGGCUUCUACUCCAGUGACCUCCGACACAGAUAAUGUGGGAAAUGAAUAAGACUUCUUCUGCAUAAAA